ensembl:lncRNA FCGR1BP Fc gamma receptor Ib, pseudogene
ACUCCCACCAGCUUGGAGACAACAUGUGGUUCUUGACAACUCUGCUCCUUUGGGUUCCAGUUGAUGGGCAAGUGGUAGACACCACAAAGGCAGUGAUCACUUUGCAGCCUCCAUGGGUCAGCGUGUUCCAAGAGGAAACCAUAACCUUGCACUGUGAGGUGCUCCAUCUGCCUGGGAGCAGCUCCACACAGUGGUUUCUCAAUGGCACAGCCACUCAGACCUCGACCCCCAGCUACAGAAUCACCUCUGCCAGUGUCAAUGACAGUGGUGAAUACAGGUGCCAGAGAGGUCUCUCAGGGCGAAGUGACCCCAUACAGCUGGAAAUCCACAGAGGCUGGCUACUACUGCAGGUCUCCAGCAGAGUCUUCAUGGAAGGAGAACCUCUGGCCUUGAGGUGUCAUGCGUGGAAGGAUAAGCUGGUGUACAAUGUGCUUUACUAUCGAAAUGGCAAAGCCUUUAAGUUUUUCCACUGGAAUUCUAACCUCACCAUUCUGAAAACCAACAUAAGUCACAAUGGCACCUACCAUUGCUCAGGCAUGGGAAAGCAUCGCUACACAUCAGCAGGAAUAUCACAAUACACUGUGAAAGAGCUAUUUCCAGCUCCAGUGCUGAAUGCAUCUGUGACAUCCCCACUCCUGGAGGGGAAUCUGGUCACCCUGAGCUGUGAAACAAAGUUGCUCUUGCAGAGGCCUGGUUUGUAGCUUUACUUCUCCUUCUACAUGGGCAGCAAGACCCUGCGAGGCAGGAACACAUCCUCUGAAUACCAAAUACUAACUGCUAGAAGAGAAGACUCUGGGUUAUACUGGUGCGAGGCUGCCACAGAGGAUGGAAAUGUCCUUAAGCACAGCCCUGAGUUGGAGCUUCAAGUGCUUGGCCUCCAGUUACCAACUCCUGUCUGGUUUCAUGUCCUUUUCUAUCUGGCAGUGGGAAUAAUGUUUUUAGUGAACACUGUUCUCUGGGUGACAAUACGUAAAGAACUGAAAAGAAAGAAAAAGUGGAAUUUAGAAAUCUCUUUGGAUUCUGGUCAUGAGAAGAAGGUAAUUUCCAGCCUUCAAGAAGACAGACAUUUAGAAGAAGAGCUGAAAUGUCAGGAACAAAAAGAAGAACAGCUGCAGGAAGGGGUGCACCGGAAGGAGCCCCAGGGGGCCACGUAGCAGCGGCUCAGUUGGUGGCCAUCGAUCUGGACCGUCCCCUGCCCACUUGCUCCCCGUGAGCACUGCGUACAAACAUCCAAAAGUUCAACAACACCAGAACUGUGUGUCUCAUGGUAUAUAACUCUUAAAGCAAAUAAAUGAACUGACUUCAACUG